UAGAAGACCUCCUGGGAAAAACUAAGGUUGCUGCUGGAAGAGGUGGGCCUGCAGGGAAGUGAAGAUGCACUUCUUUCCUCUUCCUGUCUUUCCAGUGUUGAUUUCUCUGCACUCCCAAGAAGCUCAAGUCUUGUAGCCCAUAGUGAACAAAGUUCUACAUUUCUGCAGGUCUGGAGGGUUCCUGCAUGCUAAGAGUAGUACUUGUGUGGUUAAUUUGUGUUUGAUGAUUGUGUUAGCUACUGAAAUUGAAAUCAAUAAAGUUGAGAUUGUUUUUAAUUGCA